CGCCGUGAAGCUCAACUGGACGAGCUGGCGCGUCCUAAGCGCAGGGUUGCAGGUUCGACUCCUGCCACGGUGACCA
rnacentral:tRNA from 1 species